AUGUACAUUCCUACAACAUAGCGUUAAUGCACUAGAUCCCAUUAGAACUUUGCAGUUAAGCAUGCUCAGGAUAGAGUAGUACUGGGAUGGGUGACUACUCGGGAAGUCCUAGUGUUUUACAUG
rnacentral:rRNA from 1 species